CGGAGGAUCAUUAUCGUACCACGAGAGGCGCCAGGGCUGUCGCUGACCUCUGUCAUGAGGUCGUGCACGCCCGAGGCGUCCUCGCACAAUCCAUCCCACACACCCCCCUUUGUGCAUCACCGCGUGGGCUCCUUUGGGUC
rnacentral:misc_RNA from 1 species